rnacentral:rRNA from 1 species
UACGUAGGGACCAAGCGUUGUUCGGAUUUACUGGGCGUAAAGGGCGCGUAGGCGGCAAUUCAAGUCAUCUGUGAAAUCUCCGGGCUUAACUCGGAACGGUCAGAUGAUACUGCUUUGCUAGAGUGCAGAAGGGGCAAUCGGAAUUCUCGGUGUAGCGGUGAAAUGCGUAGAUAUCGAGAGGAACACCAGAGGUGAAGACGGGUUGCUGGGCUGGCACUGACGCUGAGGCGCGAAAGCCAGGGGAGCAAACAGG